rnacentral:misc_RNA from 1 species
GAUGAAGAACGCAGCGAAAUGCGAUAAGUAGUGUGAAUUGCAGAAUUCAGUGAAUCAUCGAAUCUUUGAACGCACAUUGCGCCCCUUGGUAUCCCGAGGGGCAUGCCUGUUCGAGCGUCAUUUCACCACUCAAGCCUGGCUUGGUGUUGGGCGACGUCCUCUUUGGGGACGCGCCUCGAAACGCUCGGCGGCGUGGCACCGGCUUUAAGCGUAGCAGAAUCUUUCGCUUUGGAAGUCGGGGCCCCGUCUGCCGGAAGACCUGCUCGCAAGGUUGACCUCGGAUCAGGCAGGGAUACCCGCUGAACUUAAGCAUAUCAUAAGCGGAGGA